UACGUAGGUGGCAAGCGUUGUCCGGAAUUAUUGGGCGUAAAGCGCGCGCAGGCGGUCCUUUAAGUCUGAUGUGAAAGCCCACGGCUCAACCGUGGAGGGUCAUUGGAAACUGAGGGACUUGAGUGCAGGAGAGAAGAGUGGAAUUCCUGGUGUAGCGGUGAAAUGCGCAGAUAUCAGGAGGAACACCGGUGGCGAAGGCGGAUCUCUGGGCCUUACCUGACGCUCAGGCGCGAAAGCUAGGGGAGCGAACUGG
rnacentral:rRNA from 1 species